GCGCCGGUAGCUCAACUGGAUAGAGCAUUGGACUACGGAUCCAAAGGUUACGAGUUCAAAUCUUGUCCGGCGCGCCA
rnacentral:tRNA from 1 species